GGUGUCUUCUGGCUAUUCCUACAUUUUGUAUUUUACUAUUCUGGCUAUUCCUACAUGGGGGAUUAGUGGAAGAACAAUACAUGUUUUUAUUGCAAAAUAUGUUGUUUUAGUCAUUAGUGUCUAAUUUGGUCAAAGGUAAAUUUACCUGUGGAAAUUAAAUAAAAAUUAUUACUUAUAUGUAAUAAAUGAGACUUUUUUGUUUGAAAACAUG
rnacentral:lncRNA from 1 species